rnacentral:rRNA from 1 species
GAGUAGUAAAUGAUUUAAUCAGGAAACUUAAAGAAUUUGGCGGUGUGUAUUCUAAUUAGAGGAAUAUGUUUUUUAAUUGAUAAUCCACAAGUAUUUUACUUAAGCUUAUUUAUUUUGUAUAUCUCCGUCUUAAAAAGAUUUUUUAAAAUAUUUUUUUUAUUUUAUAAAAUACAAAAAGUCAGGUCAAGGUGCAGGUUAUGUUUAAGAUAAAAUGUAUUACAAUGAAUUUAUUUUUAGAUUAGAUUUUAAAAUUUUUAUGAAAAUGGAUUUAUAAGUAAGUUUUUUUAAAUAAUAAUUUAUUGAAUAAGGUUAAUACACAUGCACACAUCGCCCG